UUUACUGCGAUGGCUCUCCGAACUUGCUUGGCCCUCUCGGGGCAUCACCUUGUCUUCCAGCUUCGACCCUUUCUAUUCCCUCCUUCUCAAAUACUAUUCCUCAUUUACGAUCACCAAACCUCGCGUUCCGACUCAGAAUCACAGUGUCCUCGCGCGCAAUUUUCGGUCUUUUCCCACGAGGACGACACGUUCUUGCCAUCGCCUGGGUUGUGGUUUCAUUCUUCACUUGGUUUGUGGGGAUCGCAAUGGCUGAAAUCUGCUCCUCUUUCCCAAUGACUGGUUCCCUUUAUUUUUGGGCUGCCCAUCUUGCCAGUCCCACUUGGGGUCCAAUUGCUUCAUGGUGUUGCACUUGACUUGAAGCCAUGUAGGCCUCAUUUGGCAUCGAUACUCUGGAGGAUUCCAUAUUCUGUUUGCUUCUUGUUCUGUUUCAUGUUGCAUUACUGCUUGGAAGUAUCUAUCAUGGUGAGUGAAUUGAUCCCAUGAGUGGUUUCGGGAGGCAUAUGCAGGAUCACAAACCCUUCAGCGCAUCAUAUUAUUGUGCACUGGCACAAACAAAGAUGCCAGCUACCUUGCGCCAAAGUGGUUCUGACACAUUCAUGCUUGAAGUAAUUGCCUUCAUCGAAAUAAUCUCAAUGUGGUGGCAGGUGUAUUAAAAAACUCGAGCAUUUUCUAUUAGAAACUUAAUGUAUUAAUAGUUUGUGUGGACCAUUAAGUGACCUAUGAGAUUAAUUUCAAUUACUAAUCAAAGCUUCAUUUCCUU